rnacentral:lncRNA from 1 species
GGUUCUUUAACCCAUAUACAAUCCAUAUAUCAUAUCUCCUCCCCAGCACAUCCCUCAGGAGGGUUUUAUAAAAUUCUACAAUAUCUCCUUCCCAGCAUGUCCCUUGGGAAGGGUUUUAAAAGGUAUUACCAGUGUUUCUCAGAUAUUGCCACGGUGGUACCAAUAUUUCAUGAAUAAGUAUGAUAUGAGGAUGUAUUACUCACAACUAAUCACAAUUAGUAUUUCCACA